rnacentral:rRNA from 1 species
UGCGUAGGCGGAAUAAUAAGUCAGUGGUGAAAUCCUGCGGCUCAACCGUAGAACUGCCAUUGAUACUGUUAUUCUUGAAUGUAGUUGAGGUAGGCGGAAUGUGUAAUGUAGCGGUGAAAUGCUUAGAUAUUACACAGAACACCGAUUGCGAAGGCAGCUUGCUAAACUAUUAUUGACGCUGAUGCACGAAAGCGUGGGGAGCGAACAGGAUUAGAUACCUGGUAGUCC